CCUACGGGGGGCUGCAGUGGGGAAUAUUGCACAAUGGGCGCAAGCCUGAUGCAGCCAUGCCGCGUGUGUGAAGAAGGCCUUCGGGUUGUAAAGCACUUUCAGCGGGGAGGAAGGCGUUAAGGUUAAUAACCUUGGCGAUUGACGUUACCCGCAGAAGAAGCACCGGCUAACUCCGUGCCAGCAGCCGCGGUAAUACGGAGGGUGCAAGCGUUAAUCGGAAUUACUGGGCGUAAAGCGCACGCAGGCGGUCUGUCAAGUCGGAUGUGAAAUCCCCGGGCUCAACCUGGGAACUGCAUUCGAAACUGGCAGGCUAGAGUCUUGUAGAGGGGGGUAGAAUUCCAGGUGUAGCGGUGAAAUGCGUAGAGAUCUGGAGGAAUACCGGUGGCGAAGGCGGCCCCCUGGACAAAGACUGACGCUCAGGCGCGAGAGCGUGGGGAGCAAACAGGAUUAGAUACCCUUGUAGUC
rnacentral:rRNA from 1 species